rnacentral:rRNA from 1 species
GACGAACGCUGGCGGCGUGCUUAACACAUGCAAGUCGAACGGAAAGGCCCUGCUUUUGUGGGGUGCUCGAGUGGCGAACGGGUGAGUAACACGUGAGUAACCUGCCCUUGACUUUGGGAUAACUUCAGGAAACUGGGGCUAAUACCGGAUAGGAGCUCCUGCUGCAUGGUGGGGGUUGGAAAGUUUCGGCGGUUGGGGAUGGACUCGCGGCUUAUCAGCUUGUUGGUGGGGUAGUGGCUUACCAAGGCUUUGACGGGUAGCCGGCCUGAGAGGGUGACCGGCCACAUUGGGACUGAGAUACGGCCCAGACUCCUACGGGAGGUAGCAGUGGGGAAUAUUGCACAAUGGGCGGAAGCCUGAUGCAGCAACGCCGCGUGCGGGAUGACGGCCUUCGGGUUGUAAACCGCUUUCGCCUGUGACGAAGCGUGAGUGAUGGUAAUGGGUAAAGAAGCACCGGCUAACUACGUG